UUUGUGUUCAAUUCGAGAUAUGUGGUGCCGAGUCGAGUUAGUAGUUGCUGCUUACGAUUCCAAUCACAGUUUCUGUUCGUUUUUUUGUGCUGCCAUUUCACGACUAAAUUCUCGGAGUCUAAGGCCUUUGUAUUCAUUGCUUCUUUAUUCGAAUUCAAACUUGCUUAACAGGUUCUUUGUUCAUUGGCUUAACAGGUUUGUUUCCGUAUCAUUCUUCUUUUUUAGAACUUGCUUCGGAUGGAUUGAGCAUUAUAGUAGUUGUUUUACGUUUAACUUCCACUCGAUUCUAGCUUACGUUGUGUGUCGAUUGAGUGUUCACUGAAUUAUUCUGUUGAAGUCUCUUUGAUUUUAAAAGAGCAUAAAUUAUUUGAGUCUGUGUUUUAUUUAGGUAAUGUAAUAAAUUAGUAUUAGGAGUUGGAAUGUUUCUUCUUAUGAAAUUAGUUAAAGCUCUAAAAAAUUGAUGUUUCUAGCAGGUUGUUUUGUUUUUCUAUAGUUACUAGGAGUUUUUUGAGACAUAGUGUAACAAUCAAGUGUGUAAGAUUUUGAGCCUUUUUUAUUAGCCUAUUUUCUCACAUCUCAAAUGAUGGACCACUGUUUAUGAUAAAUGGAUUAAGUGCAUUGAAAUGUGAAAAUUUCUCCAGUAAGUUUUUCAUUAUUUAGAUGUUACUCUCUGUUGAUUUUAAAAUUGUAAUUAAUUAAGAAUCUCCUUAGUUCAUCCAAAGCCCAUGCAGCUCAAGAUGAGAUACAUUAGAGAGGUCCAUUGACCUAUUUUAACUACCAGUCAUAAAUCAUUUUGUAAUUAUUAUUGUGAGUCGAUUAAAUUUAUGUCAAAAGAUUUAGGAUAGUUUUCAUUUCCGGCUAAGUAUCAUAUGUUUGAAAUAUCUUAUUGAUUUGAAUUAAUUCAGUUGGGGUAGUAAUCUUUAAAUGUCUCUUCCUAAUGGCUUUGAUUCACAUUCUUUACCUUGUAGUUAUUAGUAUUUUAGUUUCCUUUAGUCCUUACCUUCUUGUUGCCUUCUGUUAGAUAUUUUGCUUGGUCAGUUAGUGUUUGUUGGAUGUGAAGUUGUUUGAAUUAUGAAUAAGGAUCAUGGGGUUGGGUUUAAAAGGAAUGAAUCAAAUUUGAGCAUGAAUUGAGUUUUCCUCUUAUUUAAUACUCUUUUAUUUAUUUUACUUUUACAAUUUGCCUGGUAGUACCAUAUUUAGGCCGACCACACUUGGAUAGUUAACCCUUAGGAUUUUUCUUUUAGUUUGAGGUGAGAGGUCGUUCCCUCAGUUAAAUUUAUCCGGGUAAUGCCCCGAAGUAUUUGUAUAUAUUUUACUCCGGGAAAUGCCUCGCAGUAUUCUGUAAUUGGAGGUCAAAAGUGAGCUCGUAGACCUUUAUUCUCAUUUCAUCUUAUUUUUAUCUUUCUUUUAUUAGGUGGGGAUGACCUUGAGCCUUUUGUGUGAUUAUUUUUCUUUUAUGUGUUUAUUUUUAUCUCAGUUUGAAUGUUUCAAAAGCCAACUAGACUGAGUAAGCAACUGUGACCUUCGCGGGACUUGGGGAGCGUCUAACACGUUAUCCCCGAGUCAAAUGAACCAUGUUACUCAAAUCUCUGGUGUAGACUUAGUUCUAAAGUACAAAGUGUUUUAAUGAAAAAUUAUUUUUAAAAUAGUGACCUGGCAAAGAGAAACCAAUGGUCAGAUGGCAACUCUGUGUAAUUUUCUUUUGAACACAAAUUUUUGUCACUUUUUAAUUAAAAUAUUUUUCAAGCUUUACAAAAUCUUUUUAUUAAUUUAAGAGGUUUGCUUACAAAAAUGGUGUGACAUCUCUGGCGACUCUGUUGGGUAGUUGCAGGUUCGAACUAGUACUUGAUCUUGUUGACUUUUAGGAUAUUAGGUUGAGGUUUUUGUGUGUUUUGUUUGCUUUAUUUGAUUUUUAUUUUUGUUUAUGUCUCUUUAUUAUUUGCUAGUUGCUUAUAUGUGUAUAGUUUUUCUUUUAUGUAUUAUUUCUUUAUAAACUGUCAUUAUUUGCAUAAUCAUGAGUCUUAUUUAUGCAACAACUCUCAGAGUACGCGUCGUGUGCACAAACGCUUUGUUGAGUACUUACUUUAGGAGAGAGGGUCGUCGAACGUAUGGAGUGGAUGGAAAGCUUGAGCAACCACCAUCGAUCAUACGCUCCCCUGAAUUGGCUUGUAGUGGACCCCAAACUUAGGUCAGCCUUUAGGUCAUUUUUAUUUGCAUCAUGUCAUUUAUACUUAGUGGGGCUCGGUCUCAGGCCCCAUGUCCUUUUGUAGGAAGCUUAUCCAAAUUUUAUCAAAAUAAGCCCAUGGCCUAAAAAAGGCAUCCAAUCAUCCAUAUGUGAUACAUGUUGCAUCUUUGAGGAUAAAAAGGUCAUUUGGCGGAGUGAUAUUUGGGAAAGAUUGGUGGAAAAGGAAGUAACUGGGACCCAGUUAUAUUUUCUUUCACUACUUUUAAAAAAAAACAAAAAAAUGAAAAUAAAAAAUCCAAAAAAGAUUUUACACUUUUCAUUAUUUUUCAAAAAGUCAAAAAAAAAAAAUAAAUAAAAAAUCCAAAAAAGAUUUUACAGUCUCCAUUAUUUUCCAAAGAUUCAAAAAAAAUGAAAAAGAAAAUCCAAAAAGAUAUUACAUUUUUCCAAAAAAAAAUAAAAAAAAAUCCAAAAAGAUUUUGCAUUUUCCAUCAUUUUUUCAAGAAGACAAAAUAUAGUUUUUCCAAAUUACAUGCAUUUUUUUAAUUCUAUCCCAUAUUUAAUCUUUUCGAACUAUGCGAACCUAAUUCUCGUCUUUUGGGGUGGUAUACGUGGGCAACCCACAUAGGGUCCGGUCUUAUUAGUGAGUCUUAGGUUCUUGACUUUGCGGGAUCUUAGCCAAAUCUUCCAUGUCUAGCCACUUUCGGCCAAAUCGAGCAUUCUUGCAAAAUGGGAUAUUUUUGCAAAAGUAGUUUAAUUACUCAUGUCUUAGGAUCUUGAGUCCACAACUAGACGUCAUAUUUCUUUAAGGUCUGUCCUUAUUGAGUUUGCAUCUUUAGCCACUUCAGGCAAUUACGGUCGUCUUUGCAAAUUGGGUCAUUUCUGUUAAUUAAUUUUGGACUAUGAUUAUUUGGAGUUUGAAGCCAUAUAAGCCUUAUUUAAGCAUUUUGCAUGUCUUAGAGGUCAAUCUUAUUGAGUUUACACUUCUAGCCACCCUAGGGCACGUAGGUCAUUUUGCAAAAAUAGCCUUAAUCAUGCCUUGCAUAUGUCAAAUAGAAGGUGUUGUGGCGCCACAUGUGUCUUGACUCAUUAACUCUAUUUGAUCUUAUUUUUUCCAUUUAG
rnacentral:lncRNA from 1 species